CUACGGGGGGCUGCAGUGGGGAAUCUUGGACAAUGGGCGAAAGCCUGAUCCAGCCAUGCCGCGUGUGUGAAGAAGGCCUUCGGGUUGUAAAGCACUUUCAGUGGGGAAGAAAGCCUUGGGGCUAAUACCCUCGAGGAAGGACAUCACCCACAGAAGAAGCACCGGCUAACUCCGUGCCAGCAGCCGCGGUAAUACGGAGGGUGCGAGCGUUAAUCGGAAUUACUGGGCGUAAAGCGCGCGUAGGCGGUCUGAUAAGCCGGUUGUGAAAGCCCCGGGCUCAACCUGGGAACGGCAUCCGGAACUGUCAGGCUAGAGUGCAGGAGAGGAAGGUAGAAUUCCCGGUGUAGCGGUGAAAUGCGUAGAGAUCGGGAGGAAUACCAGUGGCGAAGGCGGCCUUCUGGACUGACACUGACGCUGAGGUGCGAAAGCGUGGGUAGCAAACAGGAUUAGAUACCCCGGUAGUC
rnacentral:rRNA from 1 species